AGUGAACGCUGGCGGUAGGCCUAACACAUGCAAGUCGAACGGCAGCACAGUAAGAGCUUGCUCUUACGGGUGGCGAGUGGCGGACGGGUGAGGAAUACAUCGGAAUCUACUUUUUCGUGGGGGAUAACGUAGGGAAACUUACGCUAAUACCGCAUACGACCUACGGGUGAAAGCAGGGGAUCUUCGGACCUUGCGCGAUUGAAUGAGCCGAUGUCGGAUUAGCUAGUUGGCGGGGUAAAGGCCCACCAAGGCGACGAUCCGUAGCUGGUCUGAGAGGAUGAGCACACACACUGGAAAUGAGAGACGGUGCCGAGUCCUACAGGAGGGAGCAGUGUGGAAUAUUGGACAAUGGGGGCAAGAGUGAUACAGACCUACCGCGCGGGGGAAAAAGGGGUUUGGGUUUUAAAACGCUCUUUUUUGGAAAGAAAAGAAGCACGUUUGAAUCCCCCUGUUCUGACGGGACCCAAAGAAUAAGCACCGGCGAAAUUUGUG
rnacentral:rRNA from 1 species